UACGUAGGGGCCAAGCGUUGUCCGGAUUUAUUGGGCGUAAAGAGCUCGUAGGCGGUUCGGCAAGUCAGCUGUGAAAUCUCCACGCUCAACGUGGAGGGGUCAGCUGAUACUGCUGUGACUCGAGUCCGGUAGGGGAGUGUGGAAUUCCCGGUGUAGCGGUGAAAUGCGUAGAUAUUGGGAGGAACACCAGUAGCGAAGGCGGCACUCUGGGCCGGUACUGACGCUGAGGAGCGAAAGCGUGGGGAGCAAACAGG
rnacentral:rRNA from 1 species